rnacentral:lncRNA from 1 species
CAUAACUAAAGAACCAGCAGAUGUUCCUUUGCACCUUGAGAUGAGGAAGGAUACGCAGCCAGAAAGAAAGGAGUCUCCAGACAUCAAGUUAAACGUGAUGAGAGAUGGACAGAGCACAGCUGGAGUCAUUCCUGGAGCAGAAGGAGGAGCUCAGGGAAGAAACUGCCACCAGCCCUGAGUUCCUCAUGAUGACAAAUUCUGGUCUUCAGCUGCCUUCCCUGAAGAAUUCCCAAUAUUUUAUCCUGAAGUGCUGCUUUUGCAGAAACUUUCUGGCCUGGUUUGUAUUUUCCUGUCAGGAUCCUUGCAUCCUCAAGGCAGAUAAACCUCAUGCCAUUUGGUCUAAAUGCAGGUGUUUGGUACCUCAGUGGUGCUUUGGUCUCUUUUUUAUUCUCUUCCAUCUGGUAAGAAAUCCUUUUGUUUUAUUUUUCUCCUUCUGUCCUCUUCUUUUAAGUAACAUUUUUAACAUUAUUUUUC